GACGAACGCUGGCGGCGUGCCUAAUACAUGCAAGUAGAACGCAGUUGCGAACGGGUUAGUAACGCGUAGGUAACUGCCUGGUAGCGGGGGAUAACUAUUGGAAACGAUAGCUAAUACCGCAUACUACCAGCUGCACCUGCGUUGUAUUAGCUAGUUGGUGGGGUAACGGCUCACCAAGGCAACGAUACAUAGCCGACCUGAGAGGGUGAUCGGCCAAACUGGGACGGAGACACGGCCCAGAAUCCUACGGGGGGCAGCAGUAGGGAAUCUUCGGCAAUUGACGGAAGUCUGACCGAGCAACGCAGCGUGAGUGAAGAAGGUUUUCGGAUCGUAAAGCUCGGUUGUAAGAGAAGCGGUAGCUGAAGAGAAAGGGACGGCUAACUACGUGCCAGCCGCCGCGGUAAUAG
rnacentral:rRNA from 1 species